CAGCCGCCGCGGGAAUACGAAGGGGGCUAGCGUUGUUCGGAAUUACUGGGCGUAAAGCGCACGUAGGCGGAUAUUUAAGUCAGGGGUGAAAUCCCGCAGCUCAACUGCGGAACUGCCUUUGAUACUGGGUAUCUUGAGUAUGGAAGAGGUUAGUGGAAUUGCGAGUGUAGAGGUGAAAUUAGUAGAUAUUCGCAGGAACACCAGUGGCGAAGGCGGCUAACUGGUCCAUAACUGACGCUGAGGUGCGAAAGCGUGGGGAGCAAACAGGAUUAGAUACCCGGGUAGUCCCUGUCUCUUAUAC
rnacentral:rRNA from 1 species